CUUUGUUGGGAAGAGUCUCUUCCUGCUUGGAGCAAAACAGAACGCAGAUCCAUCAGUUGGGCACCACUGUGAUCCCCUUUCUAUAACACUAAGCAUCCCCCAUGCUCAUAUGGGCUGUACAUGCACCUGCCAUUGCCCUGUGUAAAGAUUUACAGGAUAAGAAACCCUUGAAAGAACUCAGCCUGCUCCAUACCUGUAGGUUCUAGGGAAGGAGUGACUGAUACGUAGGUGAGUGUUCUUCUGGAUGAGAGAAAGACCUCAUGAUUCCCCAAAUGGUUUGCAAAGUGAGAAGAAAAUUGUGCUGGACAUCUACUGAGCCAACCUUAAGGGCAAUCAAUGAAUGUCAACUCUGUGCCAGGAUGCUGAUCCAUUCACUGAGAUUGGCAGCACGGGAGGACAGCCAGUUCGGGAGGACAACAGGAAUUCAACUUUAAGCAUACUCAGUCUGAGGCCUCCUCACCUUUCCCCACUCCCUAUAUCUAACCACUACAAAAUCUUGUCACUUCUACAUCUUGAAUAUUUAAAAAAUCCAUCCACUUCUCUUGCCCCUAUGGCCACUCCAGAUUUCAAGCCAGCAACAUUCUUUUUUAAUUGAUUUUAAAAUUUUUAUUUUAAAAGACCAAAUGGUUGCUUGACCUUCGACUCUCAUGAGAAAACCACAACCCUUACUGUCACCACCACCACAGCAACAACAACAAACAGCCUAAUGACCUCUGUGUGAUCCCUAAUAAAUUGGCAAAGUAAAGAGA